UAUAAUACGAUGCACUAAAAUAGUCGAUAUAUUAAUAUUAUUCUAUUCGUCAAACGAAUUUCUAUACGCCCUAUCCCGUAUUCGUGUAGACGGUUUCAAUAUUUCAUUUGUAUAAAAUUAAUAAUUUUAAUGAUAUCAUAAUAUAAUAAAGAAAAAAAUAUAAAACACUAUUUUUAAACUUAAAAGUUAUUUAAAUAAAAGUUUUAAAAUCGUCUUGUAUUCGAAUUGCAGUGUUAAACUAGUUGUUUGCAAUUUAUUUGAAAAAUAUUGGAGUAUUUUUUGAAUCGAUUGGACAAAUUUUGUCUUGCGAUUUCAUGGACAUUACAAAGUCGCAGUGACAUAUUAAUAUAUUAUGUGCAUGAAACUCAUUCUCAGCCGUCGUCGAGCGUAUGGCAGCAGUAUUCGUAUAAUCCUCUCCAACCAAUUAUGGGAACGUGACAACCGACAAAUUAGACGAUCCCGCCUUAUAUCUUAGCUGUGGUUUAUAUAUAUUUUUUUUACAUCAAAAUGAAUAGUUUAAACAGCCAGCAGAGUAAUGGCUAUGGCUGACACUGAAAUAUACAAGAACCGCAAUAAAUCGCAGCAAAUUAAAUAUAUUUAAAUAGU